AGUUGAAGUUUCUUUAUCUACAGUGUAGGUGUCAGUAUCUCACCUCCUUCCUGCCUCCUAUGCUGCCUGCUGAGAAGAAGCAGGUGAGCCUGAGCCUGUAGUGGGAAGGUCAGUAGCUGAACCAAAAGAAGGAAUAUUAAUGCUUCAAGUCUAAGGUCUUACCUGUUUGAAGUCCUCAAUGUCUGGCCAUGAAACACCACUAGAGGGAGAGGCUUGAAUUCAUCCUUAAUAGGCACAAAGGU
rnacentral:lncRNA from 1 species